rnacentral:rRNA from 1 species
GCGACAGGCUUAACACAUGCAAGUCGAGGGGCAGCGGGGGUAGCGAUACCCGCCGGCGACCGGCGCACGGGUGAGUAACGCGUAUGCAACUUGCCUAUCAGAGGGGGAUAACCCGGCGAAAGUCGGACUAAUACCGCAUGAAGCAGGGGCCCCGCAUGGGGAUAUUUGCUAAAGAUUCAUCGCUGAUAGAUAGGCAUGCGUUCCAUUAGGCAGUUGGCGGGGUAACGGCCCACCAAACCGACGAUGGAUAGGGGUUCUGAGAGGAAGGUCCCCCACAUUGGUACUGAGACACGGACCAAACUCCUACGGGAGGCAGCAGUGAGGAAUAUUGGUCAAUGGCCGAGAGGCUGAACCAGCCAAGUCGCGUGAGGGAUGAAGGUUCUAUGGAUCGUAAACCUCUUUUAUAAGGGAAUAAAGUGCGGGACGUGUCCCGUUUUGUAUGUACCUUAUGAAUAAGGAUCGGCUAACUCCGUGCCAGCAGCCGCGGUAAUACGGAGGAUCCGAGCGUUAUCCGGAUUUAUUGGGUUUAAAGGGUGCGUAGGCGGCCUUUUAAGUCAGCGGUGAAAGUCUGUGGCUCAACCAUAGAAUUGCCGUUGAAACUGGGGGGCUUGAGUAUGUUUGAGGCAGGCGGAAUGCGUGGUGUAGCGGUGAAAUGCAUAGAUAUCACGCAGAACCCCGAUUGCGAAGGCAGCCUGCCAAGCCAUUACUGACGCUGAUGCACGAAAGCGUGGGGAUCAAACAGGAUUAGAUACCCUGGUAGUCCACGCAGUAAACGAUGAUCACUAGCUGUUUGCGAUACACUGUAAGCGGCACAGCGAAAGCGUUAAGUGAUCCACCUGGGGAGUACGCCGGCAACGGUGAAACUCAAAGGAAUUGACGGGGGCCCGCACAAGCGGAGGAACAUGUGGUUUAAUUCGAUGAUACGCGAGGAACCUUACCCGGGUUUGAACGCAUUCGGACCGAGGUGGAAACACCUUUUCUAGCAAUAGCCGUUUGCGAGGUGCUGCAUGGUUGUCGUCAGCUCGUGCCGUGAGGUGUCGGCUUAAGUGCCAUAACGAGCGCAACCCUUGCCACUAGUUACUAACAGGUAAAGCUGAGGACUCUGGUGGGACUGCCAGCGUAAGCUGUGAGGAAGGCGGGGAUGACGUCAAAUCAGCACGGCCCUUACAUCCGGGGCGACACACGUGUUACAAUGGCGUGGACAAAGGGAAGCCACCUGGCGACAGGGAGCGAAUCCCCAAACCACGUCUCAGUUCGGAUCGGAGUCUGCAACCCGACUCCGUGAAGCUGGAUUCGCUAGUAAUCGCGCAUCAGCCAUGGCGCGGUGAAUACGUUCCCGGGCCUUGUACACACCGCCCGUCAAGCCAUGGGAGCCGGGGGUACCUGAAGUCCGUAACCGCGAGGAUCGGCCUAGGGUAAAACUGGUGACUGGGGC